GCCCGGGUGGCGAAAUGGCAGACGCAACGGACUUAAAAUCCGUUGUUCCGAAAGGAACGUGUGGGUUCGAGUCCCACCCCGGGUACCA
rnacentral:tRNA from 1 species